UACGGAGGGAGCAAGCGUUACUCGGAAUUAUUGGGCGUAAAGGGCGCGUAGGCGAUUUGAAAAGUCUUGUGUGAAAGCCCCGAGCUUAACUCGGGAAGUGCACAAGAAACUGUUGAAUUUGAGUUCCGGAGAGGAAGGCAGAAUUCCCGGUGUAGCGGUGAAAUGCGUAGAUAUCGGGAGGAAUACCUGCGGCGAAGGCGGGUAGCUGGGCCGACACUGACGCUGAGGCGCGAAAGCUAGGGGAGCGAACGGG
rnacentral:rRNA from 1 species